UGGGGAAUAUUGGGCAAUGGGCGCAAGCCUGACCCAGCAACGCCGCGUGAAGGAAGAAGGCUUUCGGGUUGUAAACUUCCUUUAUUGAGGACGAAACAAAUGACGGUACUCGAUGAAUAAGCCACGGCUAACUACGUGCC
rnacentral:rRNA from 1 species